rnacentral:rRNA from 1 species
GACGAACGCUGGCGGCGUGCUUAACACAUGCAAGUCGAGCGGUAAGGCCCUUUCGGGGUACGACGAGCGGCGAACGGGUGAGUAACACGUGGGUGACCUCGCCCUUACGCUCUGGGAGUAAAGCCUGGGAAACGUAGGGUCGUAAUACCGGAUAUGACUCCAUGACGCAUGUUGUGGGGUGGAAAGCCUUGUGCGGCUAGGGAGUGGGCCCGGCGGCCUAUCAGCUUGUUGGUGGGGUGAUGGCCACCAAGGCGACGAC